GUAUUUUUAAACUUUUAUUAAAA
rnacentral:tRNA from 2 species